rnacentral:lncRNA from 1 species
AGACCAGCCUGAUGCCUCCUUCCCUCUGAAUUGGCAGUGGACCUCCAGGGACGUGAUUUAGGGAAGAUGGAAGAGGAGGAGCUGGUGGCAGGACAAGGAACUCGGUCGAUUCAAGGAUGGCGCUCCCUGUUUCCAGGCCCAUGGGAUCGUGGCCAGGGACUUCCUGGAAAUAUUGAGAUCAAGAAGAUCUUUUUCUGCUGGUUUUGGAUAGCAGAUUGUGACUGGAAACAACUUUGGGAAACUGGGGCCAAAUGAAGAACACUGCCUAGAAUAAAACCUCACAGAGGAAGAAGCCAAGAACUUACAGUCUUUCCUGAAGAACUUGAGAGUCACUGACAGAACCCAUUAAUCUUCCAGAACCUCUAAAGUCUUCUGAGUGUUGCUUGAUUUGUCUUUCAAGAACAAUAAACCACACAGACAUCUGCUUUUUCUUCUAGGUUCUGCUACAGAGAAAACUUUUUCUGGUAUCUCUGAUGUUGUAUACCAGGUUGUGAGCCUAAAACUUAUAUCUUACAGAUCUUAAUUUGCAAUAUUUGUUACAAAUUUUCCCCUUCCUAUGAAAAUAUUUUAUUUUGUAAUUUCCCCAGUUUUCAUUUCUAUAUAACUAUGUCAG